AAAAGGGGUGCUUAAAAAAUUUUUUUUUUAGUUUGAAUUUGCGUCUUCUUCUUUGAUCGUUCUUGUUGUUGUGUCUUCUUCUUUGAUCGUUCUUCCUGAUACCUAUCUUCCAAUGUCUUUGGUUUAAGACUGCAUUGCCUGGCAACAGCAGAAAAAAUAUAUCAUCAAUACAGAUAAGGAAGAUAACCACUGUAUAUAACAAAACCGCUUUUUUCAUACAAACAAUCUGAUCCGAUAGAAUAAUAGAAGCCCCAUCGCCAAUAGCUUCCGGGUAUAUUGAAUGUUAAACCUAUUCUCUAACUCAGAGUGUGAGCAAUAAAGCAACCACUAACACAUAAUGAAUUUGAAAUUGGACCAUCUAUUAAGUACAAAAAGCUUCAGACUCGACGCGGAUAUAACAAACAUUGUUUCUGUUAAUUUGCACGCUGAUACAAUCAAACAAAAAUCAACCACAACACUCUCUUUUUUUAUAGUCAACUAUCAACCAUGAUACUCAAAGCACCAAAUUGCAGAAAAUCCAGAAACAAAAACCCGUAAGCAAAUCCAUUCAUCGGUCAAAAAUCAAUGUUGUCGAAAAUUACAAAAACCUGUAAUCAAAUUUGGUUUCUGAAAUUUGAUUUCCCAACUAACCAAAAUCUUGCUGAGUCUUUGCACUGGUGAGUCUUUGUUUCUGUUGAAUCGGCGGAAUUAGCUGCUUCGACGAGGGAUGAUAUCUCUGAACCAUCGAUUGAUAGAGUAAACAUCAACCUGGGUUUCUCGCCGGAAAAGUGAUGAUAACAAAGGAUUUCUUGCCGGAAAAGAUGGGGAAUAAGCAUGCAUGAAGAUCAAGCUGGGUAAUCUCUCAAUCGGCUCUCUCAAUCGCCAAAAGAAUCGAAGGUCGGCUUUGGAAACAGAAGGAGAAAAAACGACUUGGGACAAAAACGUGAUCGGUGAAGAACAAAGGAAAAAAGGUUAUCCUGCGUGAAAAAAAAAGAAAAAAAAAGAAAAAUUUUAGACCAAUGAGAAUUGAGCACAUCAUCGGUGCUUAAGGGUGCUUAAGUUGCUAAUAGAAGCAUCGAUGCUAAGCUUUUUUUCUAUUAAAGAUUUAUUUUUAAUCUAACUUUUUGAUUAAGCACUCUUUAAGCACCUUCCAUUGGAGCUGCUCUUAAAGAGUAACUAGUUAACUUUCUCGCGCCUUGCGCGGAUUGAUAUAAUUUCCAUUUGAUUGUUUGAAAAUGUAAUAGUAGUUUGGAUUUAUUUAUUUUUUUAUUCUUGAGUAUAUUUGUUUGUUAGUUUUUUUUUUGCAUUUUAAUAUUGGAAGGCAUGAUCGUGAAGACAAUAUAGAAUAGAAGAGAGUAAAUAAAAGCAUAGUAAUAUCCAAAUAAUUUAGUUUAAAUAGUUUUGAGAUAUUUUGAUUACUGUUUUAUGUAUUUUAGACGUAAUUUUUUUAAGGUUCGUAUGAACUUAUUCAAUUUUGAUCACUGUUUAAUGUGUUUUAAACAUCAUAAAUACCUUCAUUCCAUUAGUUAGAUAUAUAGAUUUUCUUUCUUUUAAACUUUUUUGUUAGAGUUUUUUUUUUAAUUUCUGUUUUUGUUUUGUUUUGAAACGACAUUCUAUUACUUUUUAAAUAGUUUUCAUUUUUUUUCUUUUAACAUUUUUGUUAGAUUUUUCUAAAUUUUAAAAACAAAAGAAAUGGUAAACACUAAGAAGUAUGGAUUCUAUUUUUUUAUAAAAAAAAAAUUUUUGUUAUUUUUUUUUUAAAUUUCGGUUAUAUAUAAUUUUAAAAACGGUUUCAUUGACCAUGAAAUUAAAAAUUAAACCAUAUUUAGACUUUUUUAAAAGGUUUUUUACACAUCAUCAUAUAAGAACCAAUAAAAAAAUGACACAUAAUUGCAAAAAGGGCUAAACGGUCUGUUUAUAGCCGAAAUUUAUUUAGGAGUUGACACGUAAGCGAAAAGCUGUGAAACUCGCUGUAAAACGUUUUUUUUUUAAUUCUUCUAAAUUUUGGUUUUAUAUAACUUCAAAAACGACACUCUAAAGCUUUUUAAAUAGAUUCAAUUUUUUGUUUCUUUUAACAUUCUAAAUUUUAGAAACAUAAGAAAUGGUAAACACUAAGAGAUAAUUUUUUUUUAGAAAAACAUUUUUUUUAAAAAAAUUUCUAAAUUUCGGUUUUAUCUAAUUUUAAAAACGGUUUAGUUGACUAUAAAAUUAAGCAUUAAACCAUAUUAAUUUAAACCGGUUCGUUUUGAGUUUUUUUUUUUACACAUCAUCAAUUAAAAACCAAUUAAAAAAUGACACAUAAUUGCUUAAUAUGGUUAAACAGUUUUUUUGUAGUCGAAACUCAUUCUAGAUCAGACACGUAAGCGAAAGAUUGUGAAACUUGUUGUGAACGCGACACGUAAGCAAAUCAGUACACAAAUAAGUAUAUAGAUGAUUUGGAUAUAUAUAUAUAUAUAUAUAUAUUUUUUUUUGGGGUUAAAUGGAUAAAAAAAAUUCAACAUUAAUUUGUGAUAUGCGUCAAUGACUAUCUUUAUAAUGUAAAAAAUCUUAAUAGAACAAAUAAACGCUUUCAUUCCCAUUGUAACAUCAAGUGGUUACGCAAAACAUUUGGGUUUGAAUGGUAACACACCGAACAUAAUGGCAAUAGCUUCCAACUUGCGGAGAACUGGUUCUUAAAGACUUUUAAGUUGCUUUCCGGUUGGGUCGUUUUAUCAUUAUUUCUUUUGUUUCUUCGGUUUUAAGAAUGUUAUCAUUGCAUCUUGACAUUGUGAGUUGAAAAACUCAUGGUUUAGUCGAUGGACUGAAUUUCGAGUUGUUUUUUGUUUCCAUGUUUAAUUUUUUUUUUGCCAUGAGACCAAUUUCAUUGGUUAAAGCAUCUAUAAAAUCUAAACCGUUCAUUUUUAAUGAUAUUAACAUCUUAGCCAAAAAAAAUAAAAGCAAUAGUGGCAAUAGAGUUCCUGGAUUUGAAAUGACAACAGUGGUAUUAUCUCAUAUCAUCUUAACUCGAAUUUUUUAGUCCUCUGUUUUUUACUUUCUUUUGUUAUGUUCCUAAAUUUUUUUUUACUAUUCUUCUGUCUUCUUGCUUUAAGAGUGUACAUGGCCAUUAACGCUCUCAUAACUCAUAAGUUAUAAUAGUGACGACCUUUGAUUAUAUCAAUAAUAAAAUUUUCGAGUAAUGUGUAACGGAACAUUGUGAACUUAUAAACCGAUUCAGACUAAGCCCAAUUAAUUGUAUAUAAUAAACAUAAGGUCCAAAAACAUUAUAAUGUAGGUCAUGCGUCUGAUUUCUUUUCUCCCAAAAGGAAGGAGACAAAACCCAUAUGGCUCAAGUGGAGACCAGUAACCAUACACAUUCACUCAUUUUCUUACAAGAAAAGAUAAGAUAAUGGAAUUUUCUGACACGUGGCCUUAUCAUAGUGGUCCGUGACGAUAAGGGUGUCAACACCUUUCCUUAAUCCUGUGGCAGUAAACGACGUUAUCAAGAAUCAUGGACCCUUUGAUCAAUAGGGCUUUUUGCCUCUAGCCGUUCUCACUAUAUAUAUAGAUGAGUAAAGCGAUAGACAAACAAGUAAGUAAGAGAAAAGAGCAAAAGAAGAAGAAGAAGAAGAAAUAGUAAUGGCUUCCUCUAUGCUCUCCUCCGCCGCUGUUGUUACUUCACCGGCUCAAGCCACCAUGGUCGCUCCAUUCACCGGCUUGAAGUCAUCCGCUGCAUUCCCAGUCACCCGCAAGACCAACACCGACAUUACUUCCAUCGCAAGCAACGGAGGAAGAGUUAGCUGCAUGAAGGUAAUUAAAUGUCACUAUAAGUUCAUAUAUAUAUAUAUACGAAAUCGAAGUAAUAUUAAUUGGAAAUGUUAUUUAUAGGUGUGGCCACCAAUUGGAAAGAAGAAGUUUGAGACUCUCUCUUACCUUCCUGACCUUACCGAAGUUGAAUUGGCUAAGGAAGUUGACUACCUUCUCCGCAACAAGUGGAUUCCCUGUGUUGAAUUCGAGUUGGAGGUAAUAAAAAUCGAAAAUCAUAUACAUAAAUAUUUAGAGUAGCUUGACCAUAUGAAUCUUGCAACGAUCUUAAAACUGUUUAGAGGUCCUAUGCAGAAUCUUGAUUUAUAUGUACAUAUUUGAAAUGUUCUUGAAUGGUUUUUGUAAUGUGUUUUGUAGAACGGGUUUGUGCACCGUGAGCACGGAAGCACUCCCGGAUACUACGAUGGACGUUACUGGACAAUGUGGAAGCUUCCUUUGUUCGGAUGCACUGACUCAGCUCAAGUGUUGAAGGAAGUGCAAGAGUGCAAGAAGGAGUACCCCCAGGCCUUCAUUAGGAUCAUCGGAUUCGACAACACCCGUCAAGUCCAGUGCAUCAGUUUCAUCGCCUACAAGCCACCAAGCUUCACCGAUGCUUAAGUCACUUUCUCUUAAAUCAUUCAUAUAAUAUUCUCAUUUGCAUUUCCAAUUGUCUCUGUUUCUUUUUUUCUUGGAUUUCUGUUUCUGAGACAUUUUCUAUCGAUCGGAUUGUCAAAAUGUCUGAUUUAUGAAUAUGUAAUUUAUGUUUCCCUCUUCUCCUUCUUGCUUAUUUUCUGAUGGUUAUUAGUUUUUAAAAAAUUACUGGGAUAAGGAAACAGACAAAAUCACGUCACACAAAGAAAGGUUGGAUAGUGUUAGUGGUAAUUUGUUAUAGGAAUAGGAAAACAUUAUUACCUAAAGAGCUUAGAUUUCAUAUGAAUAAUUAGUUCAUCAAAUAUUCAAAUAAGAAUCAUUGUAUCAUUUUAUUUUUGGAUGUCACAAUCACACAGUAUAAUAUGUACUUGUAGAUUUAUUAUAGAUUUCAAUCAUUUCAUAAAAUAGUCAUCUUUUGAUGUUUCACACUUCUUACGUGGAGUUUAUGAUAUGAUUUAUACCUAUACUCCAAAUUACUGGUAAACUAUCAUUGGAAUAUACGAUACACUAUAUAUACAUAUAUAUCAUAUAUAUAUAUAUUUACUCUAGAUACUAAUGACAUAUGUCAAUAGUUUUAGUAUGAAAAGCUAACUUGAGUUUUUUUUUUUAAAUACUAUUAUAGUAAAAAAAAAUUAUAGAAAGAAUGUAUGUAAAUUCCAGUUCAUACACGGAUUUAAUAUUUCAAAGGAAAGGAUGGUCCACUUGAAAUCUGUGAUAGACACUUUUGUGGACGGUGCAAUACAUAAGAUAGGCUUGUGGAUAAGAGUGAAAAUUCCCUUCUAUAAUUUUCUUAGUGAUCUUUAAUCCAUGCGAAUCAUGCGUGUCAUUCUGCUAUUAGUGUAUAGUAAGUUCAUCGACUUUAUGAAACCGUAAGAAAUCGUCAAUUUAGUUAGUUACGAAAACAUGUUUUUAAUGACUCUUUCAUAAAAUUUUGGAUUUUUAGUAUAAUAAGUUAUUGGUUGCUAGCGAAUGCAUAGAAAUGCACAAUGUACUCAAAAGAUUGGAGAUAAAACAAAAACUCCAAAUUGACUUAGUAAGGCCAAAAAUGAAAUAUAAAAUCAUAUUAACAAAAAAAAGGGGAAAAUAUGGCUCUUUGGUUCUUAUAUAUUAAAUGCAGGCCGAAAAAAUAGAUGAACGUUUAAAGUCUGUAAAUUAAAAUGGAAAUGAAAAAUUGGUUUAUUGUUCUGGAGACGCAAAAAUUUAGUGUAUUAAAAUGGUAAUAGAAAUUUAGUUUUUAUAUCAUUAUGGAGUUUUCUAAGUCCUUUCGCGAUUAUCACUUCCACAUCCGGUUCUUUACUUUUUGCUAGAAUGUCAGUGAACCUAAAAUCUACUGCAUUGAUCAUGCAUUAACCAUUAAAUGACAUCCAAAAACAUAUGCUGAUCUUUUGGCCAUUAAACGAUUAAACGGUAUACUUAUUAAGUUUAUCAAGAAGACAAGAGUGAGCGGCCAUUACACGGCACCCAAUAUAAUGAUGUCUUUACCAAUCACGUACAUCAUGCAUGCCUUGUAAUGAAUACUACUCCCUCUGUUCAGAAUUAUUUGAUGUUUAAAGUUUUUGCACACAGUUUAAGGAUUCAUUUAAUUUUUAUUUUUUCUAUACUAAAAAAUAUAAUUUAUAAUCUAUUUAAGUAUCAUUCAGCCAAUAAAAAGACAUUCUGCAAAAUAUAAAAUGUCAAAAAUUAUAAAAAUUCAAUAAAUUUUGCAUUAAAAAGUGAAAACAUCAAAUAAUUCUGAACAAAAAAACCUUCUAAAACAUCAAAUAAUUCUGAACAGAGGGAGUAUUAUUUAUAACAUGAUCUAACCAUUAGUUAUUUACAGUCCAUUGAUCCUCAUCCCACUAACAUUUCGAAAUAUUAUACGAAGUAAAACUAUAUUUCUGAUUCUGUUAUAUAAUAUGUGUUGUACUUUUUAAGUUCAUGUCUAAUUAUUGUCUGUUUUGGAUUCAAAUGGUAAAAUCCAUAUGAAUAUAUUUUUGAAUUCCUUCCCAAAAUGGGUUUUACUAAUUACUAUUAGACAUAAUUUAUAUAUUAGAUAUUCUUUGUCUAAAUUUCAAAUGUGAGAUCUUAAAUUAAUUGAUUCCCAACAAUCAUUUUCUCAAAAACCAUGGAUCACACAAACCAUUAGCCUCCAACCUCUAGUGAAACCUGGGGCAUCCAUCUUGUACUACCGUAUGCACCAACAAAACUCUUCACAUAAUCUUUACACAACCGUUAGAAAUAUUUUUCACACAAGGAACCGGCACCCCUAAUCGCGAGGUCAUCAUAAAUGUUUUUUCUCCCACAACGAAUAUUCAGCCCACACCCACUUGUCUAAGUCCACAUUUUCCAAAACCUCCAUCUAAAAACCAAUUCUUGGGCUUUUUAAGUCCAUGCCCAAGUAGCAAAUCUCGCAUGGAUAUGUUUUUGUACCCCUUCCCAAAAAGCCUCAUACUAAUUACUGUUGGACAUUGCUUAGAUACCGAAUAAUAUUUGCUUAAAAAUUUUCAAUGUGGGAUUUUGGAUUGAUUCCCAACAAUCAUCCUCUUAAACCAAGGAGCACACAAAACCUUGGCCUCCAACCUCCAUCAAAACCUGGCACCCAUCUUGUACCGCCGUACGCACCAACAUAAUUCUUCUUAUAACUCUUGUGAAACCGUUAGGAAGACUUUCGACAUAAUAACCGACAACCCAUAAUUGCAGAAUCACCUUGAGGGCUCUCCCUCCUACAACAAACAUCUAGUCCACACCCACUUGUCUAGGUCCAUCUUUUCUAAAACCUCGCUUUUAUACUUGUUGUAACAGAUGCAAGAAGAAAACAGUAAAUGUAAAGAUUGUGCACAGAAUCAACGUGGUUCACCAAUGAUGUGUUGGCUACGUCCACGGGCAAAGGAGACUAAUUUUAUGAUGGAGACAUAAAGUUUCAUAAUACAUCAGAAAUUAGGGUAACAUGGUUACUUAUAGCAGAAACCCUAGUUAACCCUAAUCGUAAUUGGGUUCUCUCACUUAGGCUCAUGUAGGAACCUUCAUGCACAAACACCAGCCCAAGUGCACGCAGACUUCUACAUUGCUAACACUGGUUGUAGUCUUCAAUUACACAACAUGUAGAUCUCAACAUCAGCUUCUGGAUGCAGAACGUUACAUUCAACUAUUUGCUCAAACAGAUUGUAAGCUUUAGUGCAGCGUGUAAACCUACACACACAACCUCAAGAUGCAGCAUGUAAGCUUCAACAUACUGCAAGUAUCCUGCAUGCUGCCAGCAUGCUUGAUCGUGCAGCCUGCAUGCAUCUGCAGGCAUCAACACCAGGAAGCUUCUAUGCUUCAGGAUUCAAGACAUAUCAACAAAUCUCCACCUUGACUGGAAUCCUCCAAGAAGCUUCUACGCAUUAGGAUUUAAGGUGUAUCAACAAUACUAAUUUUUGGGUUUUUCAAGCCUAUGUUCAAUUUCCCGUUAGUAUGAUAUUGUCCGCUUUGGGUCCAAGUGUCAAAAUUCGCAUGAGUUUGUUUUUGGGUUUCUUCCUAAAAAGCCUCUUACUGAUUAUUAUUGGACAUGACUUAUAUAUUAGACACUGUUUAAAUUUCAGAUGUGGAAUCUUGGAUUAAUUCCUAACAAUAUGUGGAAACAGAGAAGUAUCCAUGGUGUUCACAGUUCAGAGAUAUUUAACUAUUAUAAUUUCAUGUGUUUCACCCCAAAAACAAAUUGAUAAUGAAUGUAUUGGCUAAUUCCCUUGUAUAUCACUUUAAUUUGUGUCAUCUUACUUUAAAUGUGAGAUUUUCGUAUAUGGAUUGAGUAAUGAUUUUUAUGAUGUGAUCAGAAGUUUUAGACAAGCCAUUGAUGCUUAGGAACCCUGUACCUCUCGUACCAAACAAACCAAUGACGAGGAACCAUGAGCAUAGCUUAUAAAUAGCCACUAACCAGUAUGUGUAGCACCUAAUGGAUGAUGUCAAGAGGAGCCAUACCGUGCCAUCCUUGGCCCAAUUGAUUGUGGACGGAGACGAUAAUUCCCAAAAAAUGGAGCAUACCAAAUCUUGGUAAGUCCAGACCAUUGAACAGGCCCACCAAGAUCAAAUAUCAGAUUAACGUAGCGAGGGCGAAUGUGAUCCUUUGAUGUAUCUAGAUAAUAAAUCAAGUGAAAAUUCCUCAGACUAACGUUUAAGGUUAAUGAAAUGACAAACCUAACCUAACAUAUUGAAGAGCUUACUAGACUAACCUUAUAAAGUUGGUUUAGGUCCAUUUUAUCCAGAUGUUGAAUAUUAUUACGAAAAUGCUAUUAUGAUUUUUUUUUUUAUAAAUUUUUUUUUUUUCGAAAAAACUUUAAUUUCGAAAAAAUUUUUAAAAAAAACUCGAAAUUUUUUUUGACGAAAAAAAAACAUUUUUUUAAAACGAAAAAAGCAAAAAAAAAAAAACAAAACCAAAAACUAAAAAAAAAGAGUUAUAUGAAUAUCUACCUAUAGAUAACUCGAAAUUAGUUUGUCAGAAUGAACACUGCUUUAAGCGUACUGUUUAGAAUAACUAUCCCACAUUACCCCUACUCUGACGUAUCUGGAUAGGGUCUGCGAUAACUGUUAUAACACGUUUAGCAGAUUUAGUUGUCGCAGUGGACCCCUACAUUACUGGCGUUUAUUGUUGCUUUAGGCAGAGAAAUUCUCGGGAAGAGUGGGAACUUUAAAUUUUGAAUGUUAAAUAUUUAAAAUAAUCUGGAAAAUAAAUUUUCAGGUUUGGGUGGAAGACGAGAAAUUUCCUACGCUAGGGUUUGUAAUCUCCAUUCAAUACCCAUAGAUAACGGCGAAAUUGUGAAGAAUUUCAUUCCCACCAAACGAUGGGUAGUUCUGACCACAACGAUGACGAGGAAACGCGAUCAGAAUCCAUGUCCGAAGAGGUAAAUUUCGAACGAUUAGAUGUAGAAUUACAGUUCAUUCGUUUUCGAGGUUUAGGUGAGUGGUUAGGGGAAUUGCAGUCCGAUUAACUCAUGAAUCGUAAUAUCCUGUAUAGAUGGCCGACUCUGGUCUUCCCCAACGGAUCUUCAUCCCUGAAGAAGUCCCCAAGGGAGACUGUGUGAACAUUUACCAGAAGAUGACGGUUAUAUCUGACAUCGAUGCCGCUUUGAGUCAGACAGAGAGGGAUUUUAUGAAGGCAUCUCAGUUUGGAAAACUGUUCGAGUUUGCAAACCAGCCUGCUUGGUCCGGCGCAUUCGGUUUGUUCACCCUCACCAGACUUCUUGACGUGAAGAAAGAAAACGAGAUCUGGCUGGUAUUUGCAGGGAAACCGAUUCGAUUCUGAAUCGGGGAGUUUAAAAUAGUGUCCAGUUUGAAAUGCGGGAAAUACCCAACAAGUCAGAAGAAAAAAAGGAGACUGCAUGUUGUUCCCGAGUACUUCAAGACUCUAUUCGGUGAUGAGAAGGAAGUCCCAGUGGAACGACCAAUCGAGAUAUUGCAGAAGAAAACUAGUUUAGAGACCCGGUUGAGACUGCGAUACGCGUGCCUUGCCAUAGUGGAUGCCUUUCUAAUGCCUUCUGUUCAUUUUUCUCGGUCAAAGGUGAGCAUGGAUCACGCCGAGAUGGUUGAAGACCUUGAUGCAUUUCUGCAGUACCCCUGGGGCCGGUUAUCCUUUGAUGUAAUGAUGAAUUCGAUAAAGGGCAGGAAUUUAGCACAGAUUUUAACAGCUAACAUUACUGUCGGAGGUUUGUUCCCUGCCUUACCAAUGGUUGUUUUAGAGGCCGUCCCUGCCAUUCAAGAAGAUGAUGACUCAUCUGAUGGGGAAGACAGUAGCCCAAGCAGGGGCGGUGCUCGCUUGCGUCCGCAGAAAGUUCAGCUUCAGUUGAAUAAAGCUAGAGUGCUUGACGAAGAUGAAAUGGUACGAAGUAAACCCUCUUAACUUGCUAAAUAUGUUACAAACGGUUUACUAGUUAACUGUUUACAAUUGCGAUAACUCUAUUAUCUUGCUUAUAAUGAACUUGUAUGCUACUAUAUAUUUGUUAGCUAUGAGACUUAAAUUAACCUGUAACAACUACGCUCUAGGUUUAGUAAAUUACUGUAUUCAACUGAAGUUGUCCUCGUUGGAACUGAUACUUAGCAGUACUAAGUUAUCAUUGAUAUAUAUGAGUAAGUUGUUACAUGAUAACAGGAUUUGAUGUGAUAAUCUGGAAAUGUGUUUAGUGUAUCGGAUAAUUAGUUUACCAUGUAACUGUUGGUAAUUGUAGUGUAAGUUAUCAUUGUUGGAUAUGAAAUUCACAAUUAUUCACUAUAUCGGUGUUAGAUUCGAUAUAGUGAUUCGAUCUUAACAAGAGUUGAUGUGCUCACUCUGAGGGAUUAGGCUCCUUUUUUGAUAAGUCGGUUAACCUGUAACAUUGUUUGGUUUAAUACUCAGUUAACAUGUAACAUUGGCCUGUUGCUGUAUUAGUUAUAGUGAUUGUUUAUGAUAAGUUACAAUACGUACGAUAUCAUUUUUAGAUAUGAUAAUAUAGUUGCCUGAUAACAAAAUUUGCAGUGUGUAUUCAGGGUAGCAUGUAACAUUUAACAGUUAGCGGCUAACAUACGUUUAUAAUUAUUGCGUUUGUCAAGGUCGCGGUUAACUCUAUCAUUCGGCCUGAUUUCGAAAUCAGCGACGGCGAGGAGGAUCUAUCCUGGAGCGAAGAUGAACAUGACGAAAGGGUCGACCAUAUGAUUACUCUUAUUAAUCAAGGAUUCGAAUUUAAGUCUGAAAUGUUUGGCCCUGGCAUUGAUCCUGAGUUUUUAGCAGCUCGUACAAGUUCUCGAAGGGGUGUUAAGAAGACAAAGAUUGUUGUUGGGAAGAAAGGUAAAGGGAAGAUGAGAAAGUCUGGUAGAAGUCGAGUCACAAACGUUGCACAUGACACUGACAAAGGAGUUAUGUUUUUUGAGGAGAAGUUGAAGACAAUGGUUUCAAAAAUCGUACAAGAAAAUAACAAGAAGAUAGAACAUAUGUUUGAAGCCAACAAUGUGAAGAUAAUUAAGGGUGUGACCCAGUGGUUUCUUGAUAACGCAGUUAUCGACCGCGAGGUCAAUAUAUGUCCAUCAUUCUCGGGCCUUAGCGCCGGUAAGUCAAGGUCUCGCAAGCAACCCCCUCCGAGCACUGCAAAUAAAUCGGGGGAAUUACCUUCGGUCCAAUCCGGAGCGCACCCUGAUGGUCAGGCCAAACAAAACUGCGACACUUCAUUUCCUAACUUAGACUUCUCCUCCAUGCCGACGGUUGACGAGAUUGUUUCCACAUACGCUCCCAGAGCUGAUGAUGCCACCAACACUGCAAGAGUUGGUAAGGGUACCGUUGACCCCAUAGGGGAAUGCAGUGUCGACGCUGUUGAUGGUGAGCAGGUUAUGACGCAUAACCCAGGCGAUGAUGGUGUCGUUUUGUCAGAAACCCGGCCUGAGAAGGUAGAAUUGUCAUGCCAAUUUAUCGGAAAACAUAGUGGGUGUCUGUAUAACGUAUCCAUAUUAAUGUGUUUGAUAGGACAAUGAUGGCGCCUCUCUCCCUCAAUUCAACCCACAAAAUGACGUGCCGAAGUCGUCAGAUGGUGUGAAUUUGCAGGAGGAGGUAUUUGCUUUAAGUUUUAGCUUUAAAUUUGAUGUUUUUUAUUUGUUCACUAUGCUCUAUUAAUCCGUGAAAAUAAUUACAUAGGAAAACCCUGAACAUGACGAUCCCUUGAAAUCAGGCCCUAAUUAUGUGCUAAUCCCCCCGGUGGGAGAGAACUUUAUUGAUGAGGUACAUGUUCCCGUUAUUACCCUAAAUUAUAGUCUUUAUAACCGUUUAUUAGACGCUAUUCUAGUUAUGUUGCAAUGCGGGAUUUCAAAGAUAAUUGUGAGCAAUUGAUAACCCGGUUACCACGGUAUGUAUAUUUUGGAUCACAAAUCCAACAUAUAGGGGCCAUAACUGUUAUAUAACUUAUAGAACAUGGGUAAUUUGAUUUACACUUAUUUCAAUGUUCGUAUAUUUAUAUUUUUGUCUUUGCUACGACCAUGUAUGUAGGUCGAUGGUGUUGGAGACGUCCAGCCUGAUGAGAUUGUAACCUCUGACAUUCCUGAACCCAAUGCUGUAAUUUCUGCUGGCGAAGAUAUUAUCGAUCCCAAAAAUCUGACUAUAAACUCGGAGGAGCAAGCCAAAGUGGAACAUGUUCAGAGGAGGGUGAGCAAGCGUCAGAGGACUGUAUCGACUCGAUUAGAUAGUCCUUUUCGAUGCGAGAAGCGUAUCAGAACUAUUAUAGAGAAUUCCGAAGCUGUCAAUGAUUCUGAGAAAGCCCUUCAAUAACGGUUUGAUAAAGCUAUGAAAGCAUUUAAGAAGUUAGUUAACUUCUGUUCCUCUAGUUAUAAAGAUUGUACGCUGAAUUGUGUAUUUAAAAAUUUGUUGGCCUCUGGCAUGUGGGGAAGGAAACCUUCUUACAUCGAAGGACCUAAACGAAAUGCUGGGGAGACAGAAACCAAUGCCUGCAAAGGUUUUCACUGAGAUUCUGUAACAAAGGUCUAUUAGCUGCUAACUUUAUUAAAUGCUAACCUAUUGCUUUCGUAUUUGAUUUAACCCAGGUUAUGGAUUCUCUAUGUUUGUUGGGGAGGCAUAUACUCCGCGAAGACAGUCGGCAGCCGAGAGUGGAUAUUUUGGAUUCGAAGUUUGUAUCGAUGUUAACCAAGUUAUACCCGAAGUUUAGCAGGACAGAUCCCCGAGCUGACUUUAAGUUUUCCAAAGCCGUCACCGAGAGACUAAAAGGUGUUGGGGAAGUUGAUCGGUUGCCGCUUUUCUCGGAUGCUGAUAUUCUCUAUCUGCCGUUUAAUCUCGAUAUCAAGCAUUGGGUAUUUCUUGUGGUUCAUCUCUCUACUUGCAAGAUUGAGGUUUUGGACUGUAACGCCAAUCUGCGUACGGAUGCAAGCAUGACUACUGAAAUCCGACCCAUCGCUGAAAUGCUUCCCUGUUUGUUUAUAGAGGUUGCAGAUAACGAAAAGAUGUCUCAGUUGUCUACUACCAAAUAUGAUAUUGAAAGGAUCACUGACGUACCACAGAUAAAGUCAACAAACGAUGAUGGUUUAGUGGCGUACUUCUUAAUGUUAUCUCAUGCCCUUUUCAGCAGAGAGGGUUCUAAGGAGUUCGACCUUACGCACAUUGACUUGGAGGCGAAGAAAGUCGUUACAGUUCUUAUUGAGCAAUACCUAUGAACUUUUAAGGAUUGUUGUUAGUCUUUGGGGACUUCGGUUUUCAUUUUCCUAGAGUUGCGGUGGAUAGACUUCUAUUUACUUUUCGGUUUAGAAACCCGCGUUACGUUGUUGUAUUGUCAGACAAAUUUUAUUUCGUUAUCUGGUUUAUCUUCUAAUUCGGAUUCAAUUUUAUUACGUAUUGGCCAAAAACAUCGUUAAUAGAUAUUUCUAUGGGUUAGAAAUUGCUUUAGGUUUAUUAAGUAAUAACUAAGUCAUCAGUUAAUGAAUACGAAUUACCAAGCAAUUUGUUAUCAACGUUAACGUGUAACCCAAAUAUUAACGGCUAACGUUUGCUUUUAUACGGGAUGACCCAUGUUUGAUUAAUGUUAACAUUUUAUGAUUUAGGGUUUAGGGUUUAGGGUUUAGAAUUUAGGGGUUAGGGUUAGGGUUUCCGCAAUAGGAAAUUGGGUUAAGGGUUUAGGGUUUAGGGUUUGGCUUUAUUUGGGUUCACCAUAUUCGAUAAGGUUUUAAGUUUUUGUUAGUCAGUAAGUAACUGAUUGAAUGCAAAAUAAUAUUUAACUUGGAGUUAGGGUUUACCAUUGAAUCAUUUGGGUUCCCCUAUUUCGAUUAGGUUUUUACUUUAACCGAAACCCGACGCUGAUAUACAUAUUAGGGUGUAAUCAAAUUAUAGGACAUUUCGUGUUAGGGGGUAUCUUUUGGAUUGACGUAUUUUGCUUAGAGUUUUAGUUUUACUUCAAGGGUUUAAAUAUAGACACUAGGGUUUAACCAAGUUAUAGUCAAAUUGGGUUUAGGGUGUAUUUUUGGAACAUUUGGGUUGACCUAUUUCGAUUAGGGUUUUAGUUUUACUCACAGCCGAAAGAGAUCUACACAUUAGAGUGUAACCAAGUUAUCGAAAUAUUGGUGUUAGGGGGUAUAUUUGGAUCAUUUGGGUUGACUAUUUCGAUUAGGGUUUAGUUUAGGGUGACUUAGAUACUCAUAUAACACAUAAACUUAAGUGACAGCCGAAAAAAAUAUACACACUAGGGUGUAUCUAAGUUAUAGUGUAAUUUGGUUUAGGGGGUAUCUUUGGAACAUUUGGGUUGAACAAAUUCGAUUAGGGUUUUAGUGUUACUCACAUUCGAAAGAGAUAUAUACAUUAUAGUGUAACCUAGUUAUACGAUAAGUGGUGUUAGGGGGUAUCUUUGGUUCAUUUGGGUUGACCUAUUUCGAUUAGGGUUUUAGUUAUACUCACAGCCGAAAGAGAUAUACACAUAAGAGUGUAACCAAGUUAUAGGAUAAGUGGUGUUAGGGGGUAUCUUUGGAUCAUUUGGGUUGACCUAUUUCGAUUAAGGUUUAGUUUAAGUGAAAGCCAAGAAGAUAUACAUGUUAGAGUGUAACCAAGGUAUAGUUAGGGUUUAGGUCGCGUAAUAACAGAAAAUAAGUAGUUCAUUAAAAGAUGCUCGGAGUUAGCUGGUACAUACGUUAUCCGCGAUAGUACAUAGUCGUCUUUAAACAUUAUUAAACUCGACGACAAACUACUACACCAUUCAAGACUUAUCAUACAUAUUGAAAUUAAGAGAUAACCCCUAACAUUCUAUUCCUUUGGACAACAAAAUGUGGAUAGAAUGAUAUGCAUCCAGCCGCCAAAAAUAAACCCCUUCCUUAGCACCAUUUUCUGACUAUUCUCCCUGUAUAAAAAGAGUAAAAAUUACAGAGUCACCAUAAUAUGUUAAUUGUUUAGAAGAAGAUGGUUUAUACCGGUAAUGGGGUCUUGCAGGUUGAACGGUUGUGUCUACGUCCUCGGCAUCUUGUGCAUUUUCUUCUGGAAACUCGCUGAGGUUUACAGGUAUAGGAAGUUAUGCGCUAAUCGAGUUACCGAUUACAUACUUCCUACUGAUUUAAAGAGGUAAAGUAUUUUGUACCUUGAAUUCUCCACGAGACAAUAUUCUCUGCUUUCGUGGCUUGCCUGGGGGUCGACGAACCGCUGGAGGUGCAAGUUUUCCUCCACCGACAUCUUCCGGUCGUGGAGCCAAAUGAUCCAUAUCAGGGACUGGCAUUAUAACCUUACCAUAUGCCAACCUGCGAUACUGAGUGGAGUAGUGUAUAUCGACCAAGCUAUCGACACGGACUCCCUCUUUUAUUGCCGCAGCUAUGGCAUGGCAACAUGGUAUGUGUAGAAGUUGGAAUUCCCUGCAACUACAACUCUGUUCCCACAUGGAUACUGCAAAAGCUGUAUCCAUCUCGUCAUGCACCUCGUAUAGUCCAUUUCCUGUAAUGUAAAAUUAGUGUUAGCAGAUAAAGACUACCGUCAACUGUAAAUGUUAACAGGUAAACAAUAUAUCUCAUAUCUUACCUAUUUUCAUGACGAAAUAUCCUGAAGACUUCUGAAAACUUUCAAUCAGCAUCUCUUGAAUCUUGGGAUUCACGACGUCAGUCUCAGUGUUUGCAGAAUCCCUUCUUAUCGCAAACCAAGAUACAAGUGUCGUUCUUAUAGUUUCCAAUAUAGAAAUGAUGGGGUACUCUCUUACCAUUGUCAUGACCUUGUUCAAAGAUUCAGAUAUGUUGCUCGUCAUCACAUUAUAGCGUUCCCCUACGAAAUGCGAUCUCGUCCAAUGCUCAAAACCAAUCCUCUGUAAAUAGUCCGCACACCUCUCGUCGAUCGCUUUAAUUUCCAUAAAUGCCUUCUCGAAAUCGCUAAAACGAUACGCCCUUCCAGCUACAGAAGUAAGAUGACUCAGAUGCUCCGAUUUGAAAUUAGUAACUACAUUUCGUUGUAAGUGAACAAUGCAUGCUCCAUGUGAAGACAUCGGGUACACCUGUUGGAGUCGAGAAAUGGAAACAGUUAGCAAGUUAACCAAUUAUUUAGCGACAUAUUUUGGUUUAUCACUAAUAGAUAUAAAUAUACGGUAACCCUGGAGUUUAGGCGCUAACCUUACGAAUGCUUGCAUAUAUGGAAGCAUGCCGAUCUGAGACGAAGACAAGGUCAUGUUCGUCUGGCACUAUUGCGGUCAGCUUUCUUAGGAACCAUUCCCAAGAGUCGUCGUUUUCACUGUUCACGAUCCCAAAGCCGAGAGGGAAGACUUGGAAGUUACCGUCUUGAGCACUUGCCGCCAUGAGACACCCACCAUAUCGUCCGGUUAAGUGUGUAGCAUCAAAGACAAUAACCUUCCUCAUGUACCUAUAUCCCUGAGCGCACGCAUGUAACGAGUAAAAUAGAUACUUGAAACGGACAACCCCUGAGGCUGAGGUUUCUGUCUCCAAAGCAACAACAGAAUUAGGGUGUGUCGUUAGUAGUUUUUCAAAGUAGGGGGUCACCAACGCAAAGCUUGCUGCAGCACCGCCUAAGGCGUUGUCCAAUGCGAUCUCUCUUGCUCUCCACGCCUUCCAAUAGCUGACGUGCAAGCUGUACUCUUGUCAAAGCAGACGGCGAAGAUCACACGCCCUUGGCCCCUUUAUGUUCAACCCAUAUCUUUCACGAACCAUUUUUCCAAUAACAUCCGUUGAAGCUACUCGGUGGAAAUCACCUCGGGCGUCGACGCUGCAGGUGUGAUUCCUGAUCACAGUUUUGACUUCAAAGCGUAAGCUGUCUUUUAUCUGUGUGGCAUAAAUCCUCCAAGGACAUGUCGGGCCAACGCAACAAACAAUGACGUUCUCAGGUUGUGAAUUGACGGUCUUGAAAUGAAACCUUCGAUUUAUUGCAUGCAGCGCGAGUUUCAACUUGCACUCUUCUUUCGUCUCAAAGAUUCUUCCAACGAAAAUGUCAUCUCCCUCGUACUGUGCAUCACCCAACCCUCUCGCUAUUUCAUCCGCUAACCAGUGUAAACAUUUAACCCAAUUAGCUAGAUAGCAUUUACAAUUCAUGUAAACUUGAAACAGACAUAAAUAUUGUUUACCUCCGAUAAUUGGGUCAUCGAAAUAUGGAGGUGCAUCCCUUUCGUGCAACGCUGGCUCUACUCUUGGUUCAGCGCCAACAGCUGGGGUGUGAAGCAAUAUUGGGGGAUUACCGGACAAUGACACGGGGGGGGGUAGGCAAACUGUGGUGUGUUUGCAGUUAAAGUUUGAUGUGUAGCCGGUAACUGUGAGAUGUUAGAUGCUACAUCGUUUCCUAUUGCUCCUAAUGGAUAAAUGUUAGUCGCUAGCAAAGCUCGACUCGGCCUUGAUGACCCACCAACUUCACGAGAUAGUAUUCCGUCUUCGGUCAUCACUCGUUUCUCUUUAUCGGCACCCGUAUUCUGCACAUCAACAGUCUGUUGCUCCAGAGCCGGUGCUUGAAGCAUUGGAUCUGGUUCCGGGUUGUCGUACAAAUGUGCGAUCAGAUCCUCUCCUGAAAUGGUACAUGACAAUAUAACAAUAUCAGGCAAUGUAGGAAAUAUUUACUACUAAUUUUUGUUUGAAAAUUAUGGCUGUUUUCAUACCUAUGAGUGACAUGCGGAUAUCAACCUCCUCCGCCGACAGAAGCUCUUCCUCAGAGAAUACAUGGCUGCUUGAUGAAGGCGUGGUAGAAGUCGAGGAAGAUGAAGACUCUACAACCGCUAUUGCCGUUUGUGUUGGUAUAACACAGUCUUCAGGUUCAUCAUCGAUGUAUGCACAGCUAAAGUUAGCUGAAGCCCUGGUUCGCGGCAAGCUGUUUGGAUCGUAGAGUUCUUUGGUGGUGCAUCAAUAUCCAUAUCUACAACUUUGUUUGUUACAGUGUUAACAGCAUCGUUAACUAUUUCCUCAGCAGCCCUCCCAAAUGGUCCUGGUGGUCCAUGAAAGAAACGCCAGAGCUCUGAUAGAUCUCGAGGGAGGAUAGUUUCUUGUUCUCGGCAUUCAAGAGUUGCGGCCGUUGAGAGUUCAACCAUAAUAUCUGAAACCAUUCAUAAAAAAAAAAGGAUAUGUAAGUUUCAUAUUACUGAAAGUAGUGUUUUGAUAAAGGGUGGUAAUGCGAUACCUUUUCCUUUUGACGAAGGGUUGGUAUAAGCAGCAAUUGUAGCCGAGCGGGCAACGUGUGUGAUAGUUAUACCUCGCUCACCACUAUUAGGAAAAGAGGUGUAGGAAAAAACUGGCCUCACAGGUGUGUUUACAUUACUUGGAAAACCUGUUCAAUGUUGUAGUAGAAAGACUUUUUAGUGACAAUAUUAUCCAUGAAUGUUAUUUAUUUUCUUCAGAGAUAUAGUGGAAUACCACUUAAAGGUGGUAGAACUGUCCUUGGACUGUCUGUUGGUGAUGAUGUCGAGGAGUAUUGCGCACCAUAAGGAACAAUGGACAUUUCACUUAGUAGUUGGUCCCGUGCGCUUUCUUUUUGCUUUAAUAAAANNNNNNNNNNNNNNNNNNNNNNNNNNNNNNNNNNNNNNNNNNNNNNNNNNNNNNNNNNNNNNNNNNNNNNNNNNNNNNNNNNNNNNNNNNNNNNNNNNNNUAAGUUAGCGUUUAAAUCAAGUGUUUCUGCAUUCAUAUUUCCAGUAAUUUUCGGACUGUCACGGUGAACCCUAACUCUAAGGAACACCUCAUCUAUGUCUGCCUUGAUCGCUAAAAAUAGAGCAGUAUCUUCAUCAUUCAAAAUGAGGAUAGGUGCUGCUUUACGCCAAUCAGGUCCCAGGAUCCAUCUCGGCCAAACGUAUGUCACCUCGACCUUGUCUUCCUCCACCAGUUUCAAACCGAUUUUGAUUACAUUUGUCAUCGAUUAGAAAGACUCUCUCUCGUUCAUUUCGACCGAUGCGUGUAUGCCGAUUUCGUCUGGUUCAUGGAUCCAACUCGCAUCACUUUGUUUUUUCCACACCCCUCGAAUUACGGAGACAUGUAGAGUCAUCGCACCUAAUUAUGUGAACAGAAAAGGUGAUGAUUAGAUAACUGAGAUAUCGAGAUUUGACGAUACUUUUGACAUUAUACAUAACCUGGUUAUAUGUAAGUUCGAAAAAACAGGGAUAACUAAGGAAAAAUACAGAGAAGUUACCAGCUGUAAUCGGAAAUCCAAGACCUUCCACCCUUAUUCAAUGUCCUCCAGAACCUGUUACAGAAGAAAACGAGGUUGCUCUGUAAUAAAUGAAGUAAAGAGUUGUGUUUCACUUUCAUUAACGCCGAUGCUUUAAAUAGAGGUCUAACUAAUAUUAAAAUAAUUGUUAUCGAUUAAACGUCACUAUUAGAGACAUUAGCGGCCAUGCAAUAAUUAGAUAUUGGGAAGAGAAGAAAUCCUUGUGUCAGGCGGCGGAUUUUCUCCAAAUAAACCUGCAGAAUCAGAACAUUAAAUGCUAUGUCGGGUAAGUAUAGCCUCCCAAAAUAUCGCUGGCCUUUUUGAGUAGGGGCAAAUCGGGGAACGAAAAAUUUUGUCCACAAUCUCUUCCCAAUUUAUUUUUAUAGUUACGUACAAACCUAAUUAUCUCCUCAAUUGUUAGUUUAUACCCAAGUCACCCAAAAAAAAAACCCUAAUUCAUCUUCUUCUCUCUCUCUUUCUCCUGCGCCGUUUUUUUUUCUCCCAUGGAGCUGCUCUUCUUCAUAACUUGGCAGCCUCCCUUUUUUCACAGCUUUCUCUUCACAGCUUUCCUUUUGUUUCACAGAUCCACACAGUUCUUGCCUCAAUCGCCGUUCAGAAACUUGUUCAGGUUUGUUUUUUUUCUUAUAUAUCCUCAUUUUUCUUAUUUUUUCUUCUUUCUUCUUCGUCUUCCUCUUUCCCUUCAUCUUCUACUUUCUGUUUGGCGGAGGAGGAGUUUUACUGUUGGUGUUAGAGAUUUCGGAAAUAUUGGCACGACUCUUAAGCGGCGUUCUCGCCGCAUCGCGCACAACCGCACUGGACAGAUGUUGUUUCGAAGAAAUGGUGGUGUCACGGAGGUUGACGGCGGUGUAAGUUUUUUUCUGUAAAACCCGCAACCCUAAUUUUUUUUGUUUCAGGUAAGUUUGGUAGAUAUAUUUGGAAAACGAUAAGUAGUUUGGUAGAUUUAUUGUAUUUUUUUGUUGUAAAGUUCAUAAUAUGUGAAAAUUAGUUUUUUUUAACAAAGGCAAAAAGAGUGUUUUGGGUAUGCUAGGUUAGUUUUGUAAAAAAAAUAAAAGUGCGCAAAACAAAUAAUAUAGAUACUUUCUAAAGUUAGUGUAGUAAUCCUUCCAUAAAUCAAUGGUCAAGUAUCCUUCUUUUUUUUUUUUGAACAUCAGUCGAGUAUUCUUCAAGAAAGCUCCAACACGUCUUGCCUCAUAUCAAUAUGGCACCAACGGCUAGUUUAUGUGUCCCAAAUCCAAGAAUCUCUAUGUAAAUUCUUGGAUCUCAUUCUUUUAUUCAAAAAUUUAAUAAUUUCAAAGAAAUUUAAAAAAUCAUCUAUUUUCUGCUUGUAGUUUUGUUUGGAUUUAGCACAUAGUACUUAGUGUGGAUUCCCAUUGCCUUUAUCACAGAUCAUUUUCAAAACUUCAAUCCAUAUCCAUCUUCUGUAUCAUUUUUUGUAUGGAUAAUCCUUGAAAGACCUUUUGGGUUAAAGAUUUCUUCUAACUUGGUCUAUCCCGUGAAUCCAUCGCUACCUUGUGUUUACAUCACUUUAUAUAUAAUAAUUAAGUCUCAUCUUCUUUCAAAUGUUUGAUUCCUUAGUCAUAUAUAAUGGUUUGUGCUGGUUUAUCAACAAUUUAUGAUGAAAUCACACAAAAAAAAAAAUUAUGAUGAAAUCGUUUGUGUUCUAUUAAUAUCUUUUUAAAACUCAAAUUGUUUUUCUUUCUUUUUGUGUAUGGAAUAUGAUAUAUUCUCUCAGUAGAAUCAAAGUUAUGGUAAGAUGAAUGUUUAAUUACUGAAUUCGACCGAGAUACAAAGAUUUCAUUUGAAGCUUUGUAAACACUAAGAACAAAAAUGAAAAAAAAAAGCACUCUAUGCGAACAAGGAUAUGCAAAAAAUGAAAUUCAAUCCUUUAAGAAGAUACUAUGAUCUAGCUAGGUCGAUAUCUCAGUGCACCAACCUAAAAUAGAUUGUGAGAAAAACCCUUUCAUUACAAGUCUUAGUUAAACCAACUCUCACCACUCAUGACCGCGUCAUAACGCCACCACCAUCCCCACCCGAACGCAAACGCGAACCACGUCCACUCCUCUUCAUAAGUUAACGUUUGCGGCCAAUCCUCGACCAACCCUGAAAAGGGCAUUUCCGUCUUUUCCUCCAAAUUCUUCACCGCAACAUCAUCCUUCUUCUCCACUUUUUCCUUUUCAAGAACCCUAGCAACAACACUUUUUGGAUCAUCUAGCUUCUCUUCGUUCUUUCUCAUCGACUUCAUGAUCAUCAUCGGUUUCUUAUGUUUAGGAAGAUAUUUCAUGCUCUCUUUGUGAACGUUCAUUCGAGCUUUCGCGGUCAUUCUCGCGUGUUUUGAAUGAUCCUUUCGAGUUUCCUCUCCUUUUCUUGAUUUAUUUCUCUCUUUGCCUUCAUACACCGAGCUUACUCGAGCUUUCUUCAUAGAAUCCACGUGCAUUCAUCACAUUUUAACACUAGUGUUUUAUACUUUAGAUAACUAAGGUAAUACUCAAAAGUUAUUUCCGUUUAUAAAACGCGUAGUCAGCAUCGAUAGAUUACUUGUUGUGCGUACACGUAUGAGUCUUCAACGACUUUGCUUUUUUUUUUUUCAAAAGAGCUCAAAAACUAUAAUGGUGAGAGCAAUGAAUCGAACACAAAAAAUAGAGAGAAAUUAAAAGCAUUAAAGAAUCGAGCACAAAUUUUCAACAGAAGAAAAAGAAUCGAACACAAAAAAAGGAAA
rnacentral:lncRNA from 1 species